CAGCAGCCGCGGUAAUACGAAGGGUGCAAGCGUUAAUCGGAAUUACUGGGCGUAAAGCGUGCGUAGGCGGUGAGUUAAGUCUGCUGUGAAAUCCCCGGGCUCAACCUGGGAAUGGCAGUGGAUACUGGCAAGCUAGAGUGUGUCAGAGGAUGGUGGAAUUCCCGGUGUAGCGGUGAAAUGCGUAGAGAUCGGGAGGAACAUCAGUGGCGAAGGCGGCCAUCUGGGACAACACUGACGCUGAGGCACGAAAGCGUGGGGAGCAAACAGGAUUAGAUACCCCCGUAGUCCCUGUCUCUUAUAC
rnacentral:rRNA from 1 species